GGCAGCAUGAACUUAGCUUGCUAAGUUUGAUGGCGACCGGCGCACGGGUGAGUAACACGUAUCCAACCUGCCGAUGACUCGGGGAUAGCCUUUCGAAAGAAAGAUUAAUACCCGAUGGCAUAGUUCUUCCGCAUGGUAGAACUAUUAAAGAAUUUCGGUCAUCGAUGGGGAUGCGUUCCAUUAGGUUGUUGGCGGGGUAACGGCCCACCAAGCCUUCGAUGGAUAGGGGUUCUGAGAGGAAGGUCCCCCACAUUGGAACUGAGACACGGUCCAAACUCCUACGGGAGGCAGCAGUGAGGAAUAUUGGUCAAUGGACGAGAGUCUGAACCAGCCAAGUAGCGUGAAGGAUGACUGCCCUAUGGGUUGUAAACUUCUUUUAUACGGGAAUAAAGUGAGGCACGUGUGCCUUUUUGUAUGUACCGUAUGAAUAAGGAUCGGCUAACUCCGUGCCAGCAGCCGCGGUAAUACGGAGGAUCCGAGCGUUAUCCGGAUUUAUUGGGUUUAAAGGGAGCGUAGAUGGAUGUUUAAGUCAGUUGUGAAAGUUUGCGGCUCAACCGUAAAAUUGCAGUUGAUACUGGAUAUCUUGAGUGCAGUUGAGGCAGGCGGAAUUCGUGGUGUAGCGGUGAAAUGCUUAGAUAUCACGAGGAACUCCGAUUGCGAAGGCAGCCUGCU
rnacentral:rRNA from 1 species